CCUACGGGAGGCUGCAGUGGGGAAUAUUGCGCAAUUGGCGAAAGCCUGACGCAGCGACGCCGCGUGAGGGAUGAAGGUCUUCGGAUCGUAAACCUCUGUUAGUAGGGAAGAACGGUCACGGUGCUAAUCAGCAGUGAAUUGACGGUACCUGCAAAGGAAGCACCGGCUAACUCCGUGCCAGCAGCCGCGGUAAUACGGAGGGUGCGAGCGUUAAUCGGAUUUAUUGGGCGUAAAGCGCUCGUAGGCGGUAUGUCAAGUCAAGGGUGAAAUCCCCGCGCUCAACGUGGGAACUGCAUUUGAAACUGGCAGACUGGAGGGUGUGAGAGGAUGGUGGAAUUCCAGGUGUAGGGGUGAAAUCCGUAGAUAUCUGGAGGAACAUCAGUGGCGAAGGCGACUAUCUGGCACAUAACUGACGCUGAGGAGCGAAAGCGUGGGUAGCAAACAGGAUUAGAUACCCGAGUAGUC
rnacentral:rRNA from 1 species